rnacentral:tRNA from 1 species
AGGCAUGUAGCUCAGUUGGUAGAGCGUUGGAUUGUUAAUCCAUUGGUCGUAGGUUCGAGCCCUACCUUGCCUGCCA